UAGGUGGUACUGCGAACAUCCAGUAAAGCAGAGUUGUAUGAUUCCGCCAUUGUAGUGGACGAGGGUCAUGCGAUAAAGCAGGAUAUGGUGUUUGACGAUUCCCAGAUGUAUCUGUACGCCAUGAGUGACAGAAAAUUGGCCAAGAUUCCAGUACAGAAUUGUACCCAGUACACCACAUGCGGAGAAUGCCUAUUAAGUAAUGACCCCUACUGUGGGUGGUGUGUUCUAAGCCAUAGAUGCUCAUUGAAAAUUGAGUGCUACAAUCCAACACGAAGUCGAUGGGUUAACGGAC